rnacentral:rRNA from 1 species
GAUGAACGCUGGCGGCGUGCCUAAUACAUGCAAGUCGAGCGAACGGACGAGAAGCUUGCUUCUCUGAUGUUAGCGGCGGACGGGUGAGUAACACGUGGAUAACCUACCUAUAAGACUGGGAUAACUUCGGGAAACCGGAGCUAAUACCGGAUAAUAUUUUGAACCGCAUGGUUCAAAAGUGAAAGACGGUCUUGCUGUCACUUAUAGAUGGAUCCGCGCUGCAUUAGCUAGUUGGUAAGGUAACGGCUUACCAAGGCAACGAUGCAUAGCCGACCUGAGAGGGUGAUCGACCACACUGGAACUGAGACACGGUCCAGACUCCUACGGGAGGCAGCAGUAGGGAAUCUUCCGCAAUGGGCGAAAGCCUGACGGAGCAACGCCGCGUGAGUGAUGAAGGUCUUCGGAUCGUAAAACUCUGUUAUUAGGGAAGAACAUAUGUGUAAGUAACUGUGCACAUCUUGACGGUACCUAAUCAGAAAGCCACGGCUAACUACGUGCCAGCAGCCGCGGUAAUACGUAGGUGGCAAGCGUUAUCCGGAAUUAUUGGGCGUAAAGCGCGCGUAGGCGGUUUUUUAAGUCUGAUGUGAAAGCCCACGGCUCAACCGUGGAGGGUCAUUGGAAACUGGAAAACUUGAGUGCAGAAGAGGAAAGUGGAAUUCCAUGUGUAGCGGUGAAAUGCGCAGAGAUAUGGAGGAACACCAGUGGCGAAGGCGACUUUCUGGUCUGUAACUGACGCUGAUGUGCGAAAGCGUGGGGAUCAAACAGGAUUAGAUACCCUGGUAGUCCACGCCGUAAACGAUGAGUGCUAAGUGUUAGGGGGUUUCCGCCCCUUAGUGCUGCAGCUAACGCAUUAAGCACUCCGCCUGGGGAGUACGACCGCAAGGUUGAAACUCAAAGGAAUUGACGGGGACCCGCACAAGCGGUGGGGCAUGUGGUUUAAUUCGAAGCAACGCGAAGAACCUUACCAAAUCUUGACAUCCUUUGACAACUCUAGAGAUAGAGCUUUCCCCUUCGGGGGACAAAGUGACAGGUGGUGCAUGGUUGUCGUCAGCUCGUGUCGUGAGAUGUUGGGUUAAGUCCCGCAACGAGCGCAACCCUUAAGCUUAGUUGCCAUCAUUAAGUUGGGCACUCUAAGUUGACUGCCGGUGACAAACCGGAGGAAGGUGGGGAUGACGUCAAAUCAUCAUGCCCCUUAUGAUUUGGGCUACACACGUGCUACAAUGGACAAUACAAAGGGCAGCGAAACCGCGAGGUCAAGCAAAUCCCAUAAAGUUGUUCUCAGUUCGGAUUGUAGUCUGCAACUCGACUACAUGAAGCUGGAAUCGCUAGUAAUCGUAGAUCAGCAUGCUACGGUGAAUACGUUCCCGGGUCU